GCGGUGGAUCACUUGGCUCAUGGGUCGAUGAAGAACGCAGCAAACUGUGCGUCAUCGUGUGAACUGCAGGACACAUGAACAUCGACAUUUUGAACGCAUAUCGCAGUCCAUGCU
rnacentral:rRNA from 2 species